GCUUUAAAUAACCAAAUCCAGCGAAAGGAACUUCAUCAGCUUGCACAACAUUAACCAUCAUCAAUACACUCAAAUCUACCUCCAACUUCCUUCUUUGAUUUCUUUUUUCUUUCUCUCAUGGCUAAACAAAAAAUCCCCGAUCGAACAACCGAAGACAAAUCUAAAGAUGAAUUACCAGCAUGUUGUCCUCCGGUGACCAAAGCUAAGAGCGGAGGCAGGAAGAGAAGCUGCCUUGAAGGAUGUCUCUUUGCUUUGUGCUGCUGCUGGUUAUGGGAGGCAUGCUGCGACCUGUAGGAAUAAUGGAGCAGUCUGAUGGCAAAGAAUCUUUAAACCCUAAUUAUGAAAAUCACAUAUGAAACCUUUUAUGUCUCUUUUUUUUGGUUUGUUUUUAAUCUAAUUGAUCAUUUUGUAAUUUAAACAAUACAUACAUAUGGUACGUUAUAGUUCCCUAAGUUUAAAUCACAUGUUUCAUAAUAUACUUUCUUUUCUUUUUGAUCCUUUCGACAUACGUGAGUGAUUAUCAAUAAAAUUAUACCAUGUUUUGCUUGUAA